AACCGCCCCGGGGCAGGCCGGGAAUUGAAGUCAUCACUAGAGAAGGCGCUCGGGAACUCGUUCCUCACGUGGCUACUGGAGCGCCGGCUUUCUUCUUGUUUUGCUUCCUCUUCUGCCCGCGUGUGUGGCUACUGUGUCAUGUGGUCGGCGGUUUUCACUAAUGUUAGCUGAAAUGUAGGAAACCAAAAUUCUACGAAACUUAACUGAUUCGGAGGAAGCUAGGACGUGUCUUUUUCUGCCCCGCCCGCCAUAGAUAGGUAUCUGACGGGGGCGGUAUGGUGGUAGAAUCAGGUUGAGCAUUGCAAGAGCGCGGGAUUUGAUCUAGAGUGGGGAGUUGAUACUUUUGGAAAAGUGAGCGUUAAUUCGUUUCCCGGUCUUUGCACGUCCUUUACCACCAGUACAGCUGAGCUCAUCCUCCUUACUGGAAAAUCGCCAGUGAAGAAAUACCUGAAUUGCCAUGUGCACAUUUCUCAAGAGAACGCGGGCAGUCAGAGUAGCAUGAGUUGCUGAUGAUGUGAAAGCAUGUGGACUUACCUGCAAACUGUUGCUGGCUGCACAGAACUCUUCCAGCCUGCACAGAAGUGUGCGUCAGGUUCGCAAACUGCACAAGUAAACACGUCUCAAAGGACAUAAUACAACCGCAGCCGGUUCGAGCACCGAGAAAUUCUAAAUAACAAAAUCAAUUUACUGAACUUCCCGGGUUGCCUCCCAGAACUCUGGUAUCAUUCUGCUGUGUUGCGAAUGGAUUGAAGAAAGACAAGAAUGAACUUGGAACAACUAAUUAUGGGAAUAUUUUAGUCAUCCAGAUGGUUAUUCUGAUUGUGGUGGCAGCAAGGAUGGAAAAAAGUGAGUGCAUCUGCUUUAUCGCUGCUGCUGCUGCUGCUGCUGCUGCUGCUGCUGCUGCUGCUGCUGCUGCUGCUGCUGCUGCUGCUGCCGCCACCACAUCUUUCCCUGACAUCAGAAGCCAGCAUGCUUGGUCAUCCAAUGUGGACUGAAGACCAGUAACUCUCCAGGAAUCUUCCAGGCCUUCAGCACCAGAUUGUCUCUGCUGAGGAAGAAUCCAGUCACAUGGACUAAGGAGCUAUUGGGUUCCCAGAUUCUCCAGAGAGGAGUAACUAUGUUUGGACUAACUAGCUUAUGGCAUGUCUCUGGACCAUCCAGCCUUCUGUUCCUGGUCAUCUAGACAGUGUUGGGCAUGGAAUCUCUUUAGUCAUGUGGGCAUCAAGUUACACCAGCCAUUGGUUGGCCAUUUCCACAAGUUCUGUGCCUCUUUUGCCCCAGCACAUCUUGUAGGCAGGACAUUUUAGGUCGAAGGUUUUGUGGCUAGGUUGGUAUCCCAGUCCCACCACUGGAAGCUUUGCCUGUUAGGGAAGAUGGCUCCUGUAUGCUCCAUUACUAGGAGUCCUUGCUAGGAUCACCCUCGUAGACUCCUGGGAGUUUCUGCUGCACUAGGUUUCCACAUUGUUUCCCAGAUACUCUCCAAUUCCCGUCAACUCUUCUGUAUUCUCUUCCUCCAUCCCUCCCCCUCUACCUGUUCUCUUCUGCUCGCAUUCCCACCUGCCCCAAGUCCACCUGCAAAAUCUAUUCUACUCUCCUUCUGCAGAGAGAUCAAUUUGUCCCCUAGAGCCCUCCUUGUUAUUUUUCCUUUCUGGCUCUGUGGAUUGUAUCAUGAUCGUCAGUUACUUUAUAGCUAAUAUCCACUUACCAUGUUUGGCUUUCUGGGUCUGGAUUAUUUUUCUUUUCUAGUUUCAGCCUUUUGCCUGUAAAUUUCAUGAUGUCAUUUUUUAAACACCUGUGUGAAUGUACCACAUUUCUUUAUCCACCCUGGGAUUUUUUGUUUUCCCAAAUGAAGUUGAGUUUUGGUAUUUCAAACUCUAAA
rnacentral:lncRNA from 1 species